GUUUUAAACAGAUUAAGGUAUACUAGUGUUUUAAAACUAGGCGAUUUCUGAUCUAGAUCAUCGAUUGAGAUGGGAAUUAGGUAGGAAAGAACUAGACAAUUUUUGGAGUUGCGAGCUGAGUUCAAGUGGACUCGGCCAAGUAACUCGGCUCCGGCCACAAGUUCAGUCCAGGGCCCCAGCCAAGUUUUAGAGUGCAUAUCAUUAUUGGUUACGGUGUAUUGUUGUGGGUUAAUUGCCUCUUGGUUCUCAACCAUCUGAACUUUGAAAAAACAACUAUUGUUCUCCACAGGAACAUAGAGAUUAUAUAGGUAUGGGAGUUCUGAACUGAACCCAUUAAAGGGACAUCUCAAUCAAGUGUUCUUGAAGGAACAGUUCUCAACUAAUGAAUCGGUUAUAAGUAGAUAUGUUUUACACCAUAGGGAUGUGAGUUCAAAUUAUAUGUAUUAGAGAUUGGACAAAGAUGAACUUAAUACAGAGAUGACAUGGUAAAAGAGUCUUCAUGACCUUAAGGGAAAUGCCUUGAUACCUUAAUAUUCUGUUUACUUGAUUGCCAAAUGAUAAACGGAGACUCUUCUUAGUUUGUGAUAUGCAUGUUUCUUGUCAUAUGAGGAAACAAAAAAUAGUCUAAUCAAUAUUUACCAUCUUAGGUUGUUCAAAAGUUAGUUCUGAUAAACAGCCCUUCUAACUUUAUGUGAGUGUAUCUUAGUUGUUGUCAUGGGCUUUAGCUUUGCCUGAGUUUAAAGGUGUUAGUGCCAUGGUUUUUUUUUAAUUUCAAACAAUUCCAUGCGUUUUAUCCAUUGAAAUGAGGGAUUAUUUCUAGAGUCAUUUGAGAAAGAAUAAUUUCUUUUCUAUGUGGUUCCGUUAGUUUGAAUAAGCCUGUUAGAAUAACAUACUUGUGACAAAUCUUUGAAACUUGCAAUUUGUUAAUCUUUUUUUGUUGGUUCUUUUUUUUUAGGUCUGGAAAAGGGAGAUUUUGGAAGUUUAUUUGUAUGACAAUGGAUUGUAACAUUGUGGAGGAAGAACAACUUGCGGAUCUCUCUUGGCGUCCUUCUGGUUUAGAACCCACCAUUAUGAAUGUUGUCGCAGUACUGAAUUUGGAUUGCAAGUUGGACCUUAAGGCCAUAGCAAUGCUUAGUACAAUUCCAAGCAUUUUGCAGCAUGUAUCAUGCGAAUACGAGAGCCAAAAACCACAUCAUUAACAUUCGUUUCUGGGAAAAUGGUGAGUUUGAUAUUCUAUUUCUUUCUUUUUAUUUAUGUGAAUCAGUGCUAAACGGGAGAUCGUGGCACCUUGCCACUUAUAAUACUGUACCCUAAGAUUUCUUGCUAUUUGUUUUGUUUUAACCAAUAUUUGUAAUUAUGAGAGGUGCUUCUGUUAUUCAAGAUGAA